CCGGUAUUUCUGAGCUACGGGAGGCGAAGCAGGCAAUAUGAGGCCCAAUGCGACUGUAAUUUUUGUGCUACAGAUCAUGAUGCUGGCUUUCGUUGUCGCCACCCCACCUAGAGACACUUCGGACGCCGGAGAGAAAGCCAUCGCCAGAGGCUCCCGCACCGUCCGCAGCCCCCAGUUCUUCCGGCCCGUUCAGCCUGGUCAGGUCGGCCGGCCCGGAAUCCCAGGAAAACCGGGGAACCCUGGAAAACCGGGUCUUCCCGGCAGACCCGGCAGGCCAGGCCGCUUUCCGGGAACGUUCACACCCCACACGCCGCCAGGAAACUUUGGUCGGCCGGGCAACUUUGGCGCUCCGGGGUCGUUUGUGCCGCCCAAACUGCCGUUCGCCGCCACCUUUCAGAUUCCAAACCCGCCCAACCCCGGCAGCCCCGGAAACCCGGGCAACCCCGCCGGCCCGGGAAAGUAGAGGCGACGCAGUGAAUGUCGGGGCAGCAGAAAAGUGGUGCUACCUACAAAUGCUGAUGAUUGAAGGGUCUCCUUAGUCCUUUAGUUAUACCUGUGUAGCAGCGAGGUCACUCGAAAUCAAAAUACAAGUCAGAAAUGGCCAGAACUUUCGUAACUUUAACU